AAUAAACUCAUUUAUUCGUUUUACUUGUCUUCAGGGAUUUCAAGUACUAGAAAGUUUGCAGAUUUGAGCUUGCUACAGCAGGAAAGUCUAACCUAUUCUGCAUUCUCCCUUCUGUGAGAUGGCCCGUUACGUAGACUUGAACAGU
rnacentral:snoRNA from 1 species